rnacentral:lncRNA from 1 species
GCUACUUCGCUUAGGAAUCAGUCUUUUACGGGUAGACUCACACCUUAGAGUAUCAAGGGCACUCUUAAGAACCUCUAACUUUUGCGGGUAAGUUAGUACCUUAGAGUAUCAAGGAACUCUUAAAAACCUCUCUAAGCUUUAAGGCUACUUCGCUUAGGAACCAGUCUUUUACGGGUAGAUUCACACCUUAGAGUAUCAAGGACACUCUUAAGAACCUCUAACUUUUAUGGGUAAGUUAGUACCUUAGAGUAUCAAGUAACUCUUAAAAACCUCUGAAAUCUUUAAAGGUAGACUCGACCUAAGAGUUUUCCCGGAAACUCUAUAAAACCAAACUAGAGGUUUAUGGUUGAGCUCAAAAACCUUCUCUCACACUUUGGUACUAUUGAGACAACCCUCUCAACCAAAGUGGACACACACAAGAGGUGAUUAGAGGAGUGAAAUAUUAAAGCAAACAACACUCUUACUUGUAAAGAUGAACAAGAAGAUUAGAAGAAGUUGGAGAGCUUUUGAAGAUUUGGAAAGCUAGGACACUUGAGCACUUGAAAGCUUGAAAGCUUGGAGGCAAAAACGUGUGGGCAAGUGUGGAGUGAAAGCUCUUGAGUUUUCUUGCAGUGUGGUGAGUGAAAAUGAGGGGUUUACCCUUCUAUUUAUAGCCUUGGCCACUCAAUGUCCACCCUUGGAUCUUCAAUGGAUGGCUCUUUGAUUUCUCACAUAAAUCCAAGGUUUGUCUUUGAUCUUAUCUUGAAUAGUGCUUUUAUUGGAUAGAGUUUGUUGGAGAAUCUUAUCUUUGUAUAAAUGCAAACUUAAAUAGUGUUUUGUCCCCUUGGAAUAUUAUACCUCGAAUAAAGUGUCAAAAGAUAAUAAUAAUAAUAUUCAAGGUAAAAAUGCAAUUAUUCCAAAUAAUAAUAUUCAAGGUGAAAAUGCAAUUCUCCCAAUUUGACUUUUAACUUUGACUUAAACCCUUAACUCAAAUGUUUAAUUAAUUAACUGGAGUUAGGUUUAAUAUCGAUUGACUUAUUUACCCCCUUUUGAUUAAUAGUGUAAUUAGGGUUUAAAUUGACAUGAGUUAAAAUAUAAUCCUAUAUCGACAAUUUUGAUUCUACAUUCUCCCCCUUUGUCGAUGGCAUAUAUGUUUUAACUAAUGUCUAGUCAAUAUUCUAUUUUACCCUUAUGAGCAUGCUCCCCCUGAAUUAUUGACCCAUAAUAUUCAAUUUAAAAGCCGUGGAUCAUGCAUGAUUUCUCCCCCUUAAAACAAUAAGGUAUCGACAAAGUUAAAAUAGAUACCUGUGAAGUAUCUCCCCCUUAAUGAUAGGACAUAUCUAAUUUGUGGAGAAAAUAAAACUUCAUACCUUAUUGAGCUUUGAUCACAAAUUCGAUUUGUGUGGUUGACCAAAUGUGACGUCUUGCUUAUAAGAGUGUUAGUUAAUCAUAUAGGAGAAAUAACAUGUAAUUUAUACUCAUUGAUAUAAUAUUGGAUUGAAGCCAAUUUUGAUAUACAUUGUAAGGCAAGUAUGAUAUGACAAUUUAAAUUGCCUUGUGCUAAGAUCAUGCAAUGAAUAAUAAUCCAUGUGUGUGUUAUAGAUGAAGAUGAUCUUAACAUGUAUGGAUUAAAGAUUUUAUAAUGUUAUAAUCCAUAAAAUUAGUGACAUAUAAAUAAGCAUGUAUAUUCACUAAAUUUCAAAACUUCAAAAGAAUAUUAUUUAAACAUGGGAAGUUUUGUUGAUUUUUAGUUAAUCAUGACAUGUGUAUGAUAUGAUAUAUUCACUAAAUUACUUUAAGAAAAAAGGUUUUAAAAUCCAUGUUUUAGUGACACAUAUAAUCAUGUAAAUAUUCACUAACUUUCAAAAGAUUUUUUAAAAAAUUUCAUUUCAGUCCUUAAAGUAUUAGUAAUAAAACUUUACUUAGAAAAUUUCAUUUAAGCCCUUUGAAGUUAUGAUAAAUACUUAGAUUAAUACUUGAAAUAUUUCAUUUUAAACCCUGGAAGUAUUAAAUAUUUCUAAGCAUUUUUUUGAUUUAAAACUUCAUGUAAAUAUUAAUUCUAAGUCCCUGAAGUUUUAAUUAGAUAUUUAUUCACUGUAAAGAUAUCAUUUGAACCCUUGAGUUUUAGUGAAUCUAUUAAAACUUAAAAAUUUCAUAAACGAUUUAUGUUUAAGUCCUUGAAGUUUCACAUAACUCUAUAUUCACUGAGAAAUAUAAUUUUAAUCCUUAAGUUUUAGUGAAUCAUUUUAAACUUAGAAACUUCAAACAUAAUUUAUGUUUAAGCCCUUGAAGCUUCUAGUCUAUCCAUGCAGCCCUUAAAUAUUUUAUUUAGCUGAUGAGUUUAUUUGUUUUUACAUGCAUACCCUUGUAAUGAACUCUUAUGUGUUACUUGCAAAUGAUAUUUCAUUCAACUUCAAAUAAACACAUAACAAAAGAGAGUAGCAUGCGAUACGAUCUCAAGUACCUAUGAGAUCAAGAUCCAUGGCUGGAUCUUCAAAAUACAACAUCAAAACAAACACAAACUAACAUUCAGACUAUCAAAAUACUCCUCAGGACAGAUGUAGUUCAGUCAUGGUGGUGCAUGAUUGGAAUGACCUUGGAGCUAAACUCAUGAAAUAGGUUUGCAAGCUCCAGGUUGUAUUCUCUCUCAACAUCUAGUUGUUGCCUUGUUAUAGAUACCAUCUACUCCAGAUCUCCCAUUCCUUUCUUCAGCAUCCUUACUUGAUGUCGAAUCCUUAUGAUUUCCUCAUUCAAAAACACAUUAGUGUUUUGUGAGUUUGGAUCAUAAGUGUUUCUCCAAGUCUUUUGGAAGGAGCUUGCAGUGAAUGGUUGAAUGUGAGCUAUGAUUGGAUGUGGGUAGAGUGGAAUUCCAAAGAACCCUGGACUAAAGAGUCUUGAGAGCAUCCUUGGGUAGUAGCGAGCUCCAGUGUUCUUGGUUGAUGUAGCCAGAUUGUGCAUGAUCAGUGAUACCCAGUUCACUCUGAUCUUUGACAGCAAGCAGUAGAUUGCUACUAAGAUCAAUGUCGAUGGUUCUUCUCUAUUAUCAGCUUGAGGGUAUACAUUGUAAGUGAUGAUCUUCAAAAAGAUUGAGGCUUCUGGUAUGAGCAUUGUAUUUAGAAUCUUAUCAGUGCUCUUAGGAUUAUACCUGUGGGUGAGAAUAUUCCAGAGAGUCUCCCAGCUGCACUUAAAAGGUAGCUCAUCCAGGCUUUUGUAGUUUUGAAGCUUCACUCCAUUGUUGGGUAGGUUUAUCCAUAUUCCGAGUUGAUCAGCUCUUAGAAUGAGACAUAUUCCAUUUACCUUGGUGGUGAUCACUUGAGUACCUACUGUCGCAUACUUGAGAUUUGCAUAAAACUGAGCAACUCGGAUUUGUAGAUCCUGAGCUGCCCUAUGUUUUCAAGAUAGUCCGUGAGUCUGUUGAAGUUUAGCAGCCCUUCAAUCACCUUGCAGUUGAGAGAUUUGAGCAGAACUGGUUCCUCAAAGAUCAUUCUUUGCUCGAGAAUGAGAUUAUAGGAAAACUUGGCUAUUGGAGAGAUCCAUGUUGGUGUUCCUUGGAACAUCUCUGACACUGGAAUCCUUCUGGUGCGUUUCUUCCGGAUAGGAUUGCUGCUUGAAGGAUUGGGGUUGUAUACCGGACUGGAAGGACAGUCAGGUAUGAUCGUUAGCUCCUUCUUCUCAGGAUUGAUUUCUUGGAUCAACAUCCUUGGGAUAGUUUAGGAGGAAAAGAAGGAAGAAGAUGAUAUGAGAGUUUGUUCUUCCUAUGUUGAAAUAGUAUUUUGAACUCCUCCUUUUUAGGUUUAAAGAUAUGUUCAGAUUUUCAAUUAGCUGACAUUGCUUGUAAAGCUUUUACAAGUGAUGAUCAGAUUAACUUUAGGUCAUGUCUAACUUGAACAGUUAGCAACUUUUAGGGUUUGUUUUUCAAUGAAUCAAACAACCCUACUUGGUGAAUUUGGACAGAUUUGUCUUAAUUCAACUCUUGUCAUUUCAGAUAUUUACACGAUCUGAACUGAUUUUCUACAUAUAUAAUUUAUUUAAACAUACCUUUUGUAGUGAUCGACGCACUCCUUGCUUCAUCCACGAUAAUUCAUGCUUCAUUUUUCUACUUUUGCAGGCAGCGAUUGAUGUACUCGUGCAGUGUAGUAGCAGGAUUUCCUUUUUCCAGAUCUUCUUGCAGGAUUCUUGCACUGUGCAAGCCACACACCGGGUAUGGUGUCGAGAAUGACUGAUUGACUUGGCUAUGAUCUGCGAAGUUUGGUGGCUGGAUUUGUAAUGCCGACAAGAAUUUUCAUUUCUCCAAUGUCGAGAUUUCUUGCUUGGUUUUUUUCAAGAUAAAAAGAGUUUGGUUUACCAAGAUCUGACAAUUAGCAUGUUUGCACAUUCCACCUGUACUUAUAAUAGAUAUAUAGAUUUGGAUAUUUCAUGUGAAUUUGAAUUUCAUUGUUAAUUUCGUAGUGACAUGGCAUGUUAGUCAACUAGCAUAAAUCAAGGAAUGCAUGUAUUAGUUAAUUAUCUUGUAUUUAGUAAGUAAUUCUAAACAUGCAAAUGAUUAGUGAUAUUUUAUCAUACAUGUAUAAAUUUUGUUUUAUAAUACAAGUAACAUGGCAUGAGUUACCGAUCGUUUGAAGAUUACAUGCAAAGAUUGUAUUACACACAUUUUAUAAUCAGGUGUUAAUCUUGCAUGCAUAAUCGUGGCAUGUAAUGAGUUGUUUUGAAGUUUUCAUACAUCUCAUAUGUAGAUAGACUCAUUUUACUUUGCAUACUAUAUAUGUAUUUAUCAAAUAAUUCUAAGCAUGCAGAAGAUUUGUAAUACGUAAAACAGGCAUGCAUGGGAUUAGUUUUACAAAUAAGUUGACGACUGUAUGCAUGAAUCGAGCAUGUAAAGCAUGCAUUUAUCAGAUAGUUGUUUUAGAUCAUGGAUCUUUUAGUAGCAUGGAAUGCAUUAACGUGUUUGUCAUAUAUGAUAGACAUGCAUUUAGCUAUGUGUGUGCAGAACUUAGUAUAUGAAUGAACAUAGUAAAAAGUACGUAUGUAAAUAUUUGAUAGAUUAUAUUAAGUUCAUAUAUAUAUAUGCACAUAGAUCUACUUAGGCUUUAUUUGAGAUACAAAGCAAUCUAGGACAUAGUUGCCUUGUAUAGAUGAUCUUGUCUGUAUGCCAGUGUGUUGAUCUCCAAUGAUUUGUUCUGCGGAGUGUGAGUUUCUGAGAUUCCUAUUUGAUGGAAGUUCAGAGAAGAUUGUCUCUUGAUCAUCUUUUUCUAUAGGAGUGGCAGAUGGUAUUUGUUGAGUGACUUCAAUUCCUCCUUCUUCUGUGUUUGGAACAGAGAUGGACUCAUCAAAGUCAACGUGUAGGGAUUCUAUCAAUAUUUGUCUUUCUUUGAGAAGGACUCUAUAGGCCUUGCUCCUUUUUGAGUAUCCAACCAAGAUUCCUUCAUCAGAUUUUUGUGCUAAUUUAUCUUGGUUUCCCCUUGUUCUGAGAACAUAGCACUUACUCCCAAAUACUUUAAAGAAUGAAACUUUGGGUUUUCUGUUAUUCCAAAGUUCAUAAGGAGUUUUGUUUAAGGUUUUUCUAAUGAUUACCUUAUUGAGAGUGUAACAAGCAGUGCUUAUAGCUUCUGCCCAUAGAUAUUGAGGGGAGUCAUGUUCUUGUAACAUAGACUUACUCAUUUCUUGAAGAGUAUGAUUUUUUCUUUCUACUAUUCCAUUUUGAGGUGGAGCUUGAGGAAAAGCAAAUUCAUGCUUUAUCCCAUUGGAUAUACAGUACUCUUCAAAGUCAGAGUUUUCAAAUUCUCCUCCAUGAUCACUUCUGAUUUUUAUGAUAGAUGAACCUUUUUCAUUCUGUAAUACUAGGGUACAAAAUUUAGAGAAUUCACCAAAGGUUUCACUUUUGUUUCUUAGAAAGAACACCCAUGUAUAGCGAGAAUAAUCAUCAAUGAUUACAUAGGUGAACCUUUUUCCUCCAAGACUUUGGGUUUGGGUUGGCCCAAAUAAGUCCAUGUGAAAAAGCUCUAAGGGUCUAGAGGUGGUUAUUUCUGUGAGGGAUUUAAACGAGCUUCUGUGUUGCUUUCCUUUUUGACAAGCAUCACAGAUAUUACUUUUCUCAUAAGCUAUUUUAGGCAACCCAGUUACUAAUUCUUCUUUAGAUAAUUUAGAUAGUUUUGAGUAGCUGGUGUGACCUAAUCGUCUAUGCCAUAGAACUUUCUCAUCACUUGCAGCAAGCAUGCAGAAGUCAUGAGUUGGUUUAGACUUAUCAAAGUUUAUAGAAUAAGCAUUGCUUUUUCUAUAUCCUCUGGCAAUGAUAACUCCCUCAGAGUUAGUGAUAGAACAAUUAUAUUUUUCAAAUUUUACUACACAACCGAUAUAACAUAAUUGACUUAUGCUAAUCAGGUUGUGUUUUAGACCAUUUACUAAGUAUACAUUUCUUAAGAAUGGUUUUUCUGUAUUUCCUACAUUACCCCUACCUACUAUUGUACCUUCGUUGUUAUCGGCGAACUUGACCUUUUUAGUAGUAGGUAAGUCUAUCAAGUCUGUUAGUAGACUUGAUUCCCCAGUCAUGUGUCUUGUGCAUCCACUGUCGAACAUCCAUUUUAACACAUGCUUUUCCUGAAAAAGUUGAAAAAUCCUUUGGUACCCAUACUGAGUUGGAUCCGUAUGAAUUAACAUACUUAAUCUGCUUAUAACUUCUUAACUCAUCUUUGUUUUGGAUGAUUCAUCUUAGAAUGAUUUUUCUUUUUCUUAAGAUGAAUGGAUUUUGUAUAGCUAGAAUAAUCAUUAUACAUUGAAGCAUGCAAAGGUUUUGUAGAACUAGAUUCCCUUACAAAAUGAUCAUUAUAAGUUAUGGCAUUUAAGGUUUUGUUAAUAGGUGCAUCUGACUCAAACCCUAAGCCAAAUUUCUUUUGACCCAAGUUUGAACCUUGCAACAUGUUAUUUAACUUGGAUGAACUAUUUAAGAAUUUUUGAAGAAGAUUAUUUUUCUCAUUUAUUCUUUCAGUUUGUAAUUGCAUGCUGUUAUGUUUUUCAGAUAAUUUUUGUAAAGUUUCUUCAUGCUCAAGUAUGAGUUUAUCCUUAGAUUCUAUUUCAGUUUUAAGCAUGAUUGUUUCUUUUUCUUUAUUUCUAACACUUUCCUCAAAAUUAUCUAUUUUUAAUUCUAACAAAUCAACCCUAUCAUCAUUUAUUUCAUUAGGUUGAUUUUCUUCAGAUUCUAGAAUAUCGAGUAAUUCAAAAUUUUGACUCUUAAGUGUUUUAAUUUUUUCAUCUCCAUUUUUUAUUUUACUUGAGAGUUUAUGGUUUUCUUCUUUUAAUAACAUUCUUUUAAUUCUUCUAAUUCUAUUGAAUGAUCAAUAUGUGAUUUAUUCAUGCAUUCUAGUCUUAAUGAUUUACUUAAUUUUUUUUCAGCUUUAUAUUUAUUCAUUAAUUCUAGAUAUGCUUCUUCUAAUGAAUUAAAUCUAGUAUUUGUAAAAUUUACCUCAGAGUCGUUCUCAUGAGCCAUGAGACAGUCUUCUUGAUCUGACUCAGAAUCUGACCAGUGUACUUGAUGUGCUUUUUCUUUCUUUAGCAGAGGACAUUCAGGUCUGUUGUGUCCAGAUUUUUUGCACAAAUAGCAGAUAGGCUCCUUUGAGUCUUUGUGGUUUUUACUCACUUUUCUGUCGGAAUUCUGAUAGUCUAACCUUGAAUUUCUCUUUUCUUUCCUUUUUAUGAGUCUCUUUAAAUGAUUUGUGAUCAUUGCCAAGUCAUCAUCAGAUGCUUCAUUAUCGGAUUGACUUUUGAGAGCAAUGUCCUUUUUCUCUUCUUUUGCUCUAGAGAUAAAUCUUUCUUCUUCAUAGGCCAUCAGAUUUCCGCAAAGUUCUACCACUGUGAGUUUAUUCAGAUCAUGAGAUUCUUGGAUAGCAUUCCUCUUUGAGUAGUAUUUGUUUGGAAAGCUCCCUAGAAUCUUGCUCACUUUCUUUUUCUCAGCUACUGGAUCUCCUAGUCCAGCCAGAUCGUUGACUAUUUGUGAUAGUCGAAUAUUCAUUUCCGCGAUAGUCUCAUCUUCCCUCAUAGAGAAUCUUUCGAAUUGAGAAGUGACAUGUAAUAGCUUGUUUUCCUUGACGUGGGAGGUUCCUUCAUGUAGGUCCUCCAAAGCUUUCCAUACCUUGUGAGCUGUAUCCAAGCAUCGAAUUCUGCUAUAUUCAGAUUCAUUGAGGCGCCAUAUAGUGCAUUCAAUGCUCUUGAGUUGUUGUUUUCCUUGAGAAUAUCCAUUGCUCCCCAAGUCUCUUCUUUGCUUGUUGGAAUCUCAUAAUCUUCCAAUAUGAUUUUUCAGACUCCAUUGUUGAUUGACUUUAAGAAUAACUUCGUCUUGUUCUUCCAGAAGUCAUACUUUACUCCAUCGAACCUGGGAGGUUUGUUCGAUGCAAGACCAGUACUGUUUUCACCAUUUGAAGCCAUAGUUGUUGUUGUAAGAUGUUAGUCUGACUUCAACGGAACUUGGCUCUGAUACCACUUGUUGGAUCGAGAUCCGAGGCUAUAAGGGGGGAUAAUAGCCUCUUUUCGAUUUAUACAGGUUGAUUGCGGAAUUACCUGUAAACGCUUAAUAAACAAAUGGUUGAACAAUAAUGAUAUAAAGAUAUUAUAACUUUGAUUGAUAUAAUAACGUAAUUAUUACUCUUCGAAGCUUACCACAGUAUAUGAAUACUGAGUCAACUUGCUUGAUAGUGUUUUACACAUAACUAUAGUAUAUGAAUACUAAGUUAUAUUGUAAACACAAAUUGUAUUGUAGAGUAAAUGACCAGAUAACUGGAUAUAUUGAUAAGCAAGUAAAUGACCAGAUAACUGGAUAUAUUGAUAAGCAAGUAAAUGACCAGAUAACUGGAUAUAUAUGAUAAGUAAUACUUGAACAAAUAUAAGGAUUUAAAGCAACGAAUAUAACCUCAGAUAGUUGACCAGAUAACUGGAUGAGGGAUCUGCGUAAAGUAGUCAACCUCUGUGUUUGACCAGAUAACUAGAAGAAAGAUCCUUUUUAAUUAAGUGUUGUUUUUAGAUAAAAGAUAAAACUAUAAUUAACAGAGAACAAUACAAGAGAUUUAUACUGGUUCACCCAAAUAAGGGCUAGUCCAGUCCCGACCAACUGCCGGAAUUCACUCGCCUAAAGGUUAUGGCAAAACCUUAGAGUAUCAAGGAAACUCUUAAGAACCUCUCUAUGCUUUAAGGCUACUUCGCUUAGGAACCAGUUUUUUACGGGUAGACUCACACCUUAGAGUAUCAAGGGCACUCUUAAGAACCUCUAACUUUUGCGGGUAAGUUAGUACCUUAGAGUAUCAAGCAACUCUUAAAAACCUCUCUAAGCUUUAAGGCUACUUCGCUUAGGAACCAGUCUUUUACGGGUAGACUCACACCUUAGAGUAUCAAGGACACUCUUAAGAAGCUCUAACUUUUACGGGUAAGUUAGUACCUUAAAGUAUCAAGGAACUCUUAAAAACCUCUGAAAUCUUUCAAGGUAGACUCGACCUAAGAGUUUUCCCGGAAACUCUAUAAAACCAAACUAGAGCUUUAUGGUUGAGCUCAAAAACCUUCUCUCACACUUUGGUACUAUUGAGACAACCCUCUCAACCAAAGUGGACACACACAAGAGGUGAUUAGAGGAGUGGAAUAUUAAAGCAAACAACACUUCUUACUUGUAAAGAUGAACAAGAAGAUUAGAAGAAGAAGUUGGAGAGCUUUUGAAGCUUUGGAAAGCUAGGACACUUGAGCUCUUUGAAAGCUAGGAAGCUUGGAGGCAAAAACAUGUGGGCAAGUGUGGAGUGAAAGCUCUUGAGUUUGCUUGUAGUGUGGUGAGUGAAAAUGAGGGGAUUACCCUUCUAUUUAUAGCCUUGGCCACUCAAUGUCCACCCUUGGAUCUU